CACGUAGGCGGUGAAUCGGGUUGAAAGUGAAAGUCGCCAAAAAGUGGCGGAAUGCUCUCGAAACCAAUUCACUUGAGUGAGACAGAGGAGAGUGGAAUUUCGUGUGUAGGGGUGAAAUCCGUAGAUCUACGAAGGAACGCCAAAAGCGAAGGCAGCUCUCUGGGUCCCUACCGACGCUGGGGUGCGAAAGCAGUGGGGAAGCGAACA
rnacentral:rRNA from 1 species